AAAUAAUCUGUUAAAAGCGGACGAGUGUAUUGCAGAUCAACGAAAAAAAAACAUUCCCGUUAAAGAAUCAACGUUACUGAAGAAUUUUCGACAAGGACGAACCUUUGCCGAACAACGAAACGAGAAAACAGCGUCAGUCAAGAUUGAUUGUGAAACACAACAGGUGAAUUCGACAACGAAGCAGUGAUAUCGGAAAAAGCAAAACGAACAAACAUACUAAAUGAAACCUAUCCACAUGGAACAAGCAAACCAAAUGAGCCACCGAAUCAACAUUCAAGCUUCCAAAGAAUGUUCGUUUCAACCUCCCACUGCAGACUCCACACUGCAGCAGUAAUUGAUCAAAGUGCAGAGCCAGUGGUUUAUCAUCGCCCCGGGGGAGGGGGGGGGAGACCGCGAACCCGCGACGUCAGAGCGGCAUACCACGACACUAAACACCGUACCUGCUCAAAUCAGAUGUCAAAGUGGAAAAGAUGAAAUGUUGAACUGUACCAGCUGGAAUGAAAAGCUGAAAGAGACGGACGAAUAUGACCGUAAUGAACUCUUCCAAGCAGCAUCUGUUAUCGCCUCUAAUGCGAGAGAGUAUAAGGACGAGCCAAGCUAGACACGUAAUAUCAUUCAUCCUUUAAUCAAUUUUGGCCUCUGACGCCGGAGACAAUAAGGGCGGAGAUUUCUGGGAACUGUCACAAGAGGCAGACACCAGGAGAAGGCGAAUCUCGCCUCGUUAAGUAUGCAAACAAUGACACGCAAUGCAUCCGAGCAUUACACCAGUGGCAUUAAUAUGUUCAUUAAUCAUUUGCAUAUAUCACGUUGCAGUCUCUCUCUCUCUCUCUCUCUCUCUCUCUCUCUCGGGAUAUGUCAUUAUUGGGGAGUUAUGCCUGCGUCUGUGUUGUUAAGGAACUAAUACGAUGUGGUAAUGGUGGCGUCUGUUUCAGAUUGCGAUACAGCCUGUUCCAGCAUGUGCUCUGGGGCAAGCAUAGACAUAUUUGUAUAGAAAUACAUUUAUAUGUAAGUGAGUGCAUAUACAUUACAUAUAAAUAUUGUCAGGUUGUUUGACUUUAAAACACCUAGUUUCAAUUUUUUAACUGCCCUCUCUUCUUUUAGGAGGGAGACUAGUUUACUUUUGUCACAUUGUGAGUGACAACUGACAAGAGAAUCAGUCAGGUUUGGGAAGCCAGAUUGACAGGUUCUCGUGAUGCAGUCGAGAACGAACAGCAGCAACAGUUUUGAAGUACCACCUAGUUGAUGGUGAUGGUCCUGAUACAGCACAGGUGUGGGUCACUUGACGUCAACCCAGGUCCGAGGUCGAGAUGGUGACCAAACCAUGGUUACCAGUUUUGAAGAGAUAUUCUUCGGUGGCAGUGAAGUGGCUGUCGCAUCGACACUGUCGUGGUCGUUACCUUACAGUGUACGAUGGUCGUCCUCAAGGAUCAUGGAUUGUGUUUCUGGAUGUUUAUGAUAUGUUGGAAGAGCAGUGUAUGGCUCUUGAGUAAUUAUGGUGUAUUUCAUUUCGUGUAUGAUAAUUCAUUAACUGGUUUUGUAUCUGUGUUGAGCAAGUAUUAGCUCUUGUUAUUUAGUGAGGAGCAAGUGUAUGGGCUCGUCUUCAUUUUAUUAGUAAUGAAAGAUUCUCUUAUUUGUUUGUCAUUACUACUGCUUACUGUGUUUUUGUUAAUGAAUUCUGCUAAUUGUAUUUAUCAUUUACUUGAACUUUUAAGGUAUCCGUUUUUGUAAUUUUUAAUAUCUGAAUUUAUGGUAAUGAUUAUUUAUGUCACUGUGCUUCCCAUAACCUGUGCUCAUUGUAAUUAUUGUAUAUAAUUUUUGUUUAAUAAACUAGGUUAAUGUA